GAAAUGCGAUAAGUAAUGUGAAUUGCAGAAUUCAGUGAAUCAUCGAAUCUUUGAACGCACCUUGCGCUCCUUGGUAUUCCGAGGAGCAUGCCUGUUUGAGUGUCAUGGAAUUCUCAACUCUAUUUGCUUUUGUGAAUAGAGCUUGGAUUUGGAGGUUUAUUGCUGGUACUUGUGAUCGGCUCCUCUUGAAUGCAUUAGCUCGAACCUUUGCGGAUCAGCUAUCGGUGUGAUAAUUGUCUACGCCGUUGCAGUGAAGCAUAUCAAUGGGCUCGGCUUCCAAUCGUCCUUUACUGGACAAUGACUUUGACCUUUGACCUCAAAUCAGGUAGGAUUACCCGCUGAACUUAGGC
rnacentral:misc_RNA from 1 species